GCGCACGUAGCUCAGCUGGAUAGAGUACCUGGCUACGAACCAGGCGGUCGGAGGUUCGAAUCCUUCCGUGCGCGCCA
rnacentral:tRNA from 1 species